CGCCUUGCCAGCCCGCUCAGAACUUAAAGGAAUUGACGGGGCCGCACAAGCGUGGAGCAUGUGGUUAAUUCGAAGCAACGCGAAGAACCUUACCAGGCCUUGACAUGCAGAGAACUUUCCAGAGAUGGAUUGGUGCCUUCGGGAACUCUGACACAGGUGCUGCAUGGCUGUCGUCAGCUCGUGUCGUGAGAUGGUUGGGUUAAGUCCCGUAACGAGCGCAACCCUUGUCCUUAGUUACCAGCACGUUAUGGUGGGCACUCUAAGGAGACUGCCGGUGACAAACCGGAGGAAGGUGGGGAUGACGUCAAGUCAUCAUGGCCCUUACGGCCUGGGCUACACACGUGCUACAAUGGUCGGUACAAAGGGUUGCCAAGCCGCGAGGUGGAGCUAAUCCCAUAAAACCGAUCGUAGUCCGGAUCGCAGUCUGCAACUCGACUGCGUGAAGUCGGAAUCGCUAGUAAUCGUGAAUCAGAAUGUCACGGUGAAUACGUUCCCGGGCCUU
rnacentral:rRNA from 1 species